UAUUGCCUUGAUGAAAAGUAAAAACAAUCACGAGGUCGACGGUCGGGUCAUUGUCCGCUCCUCUAUAGCUGCCAGCGUAUGUGCAGUGUAGGUCAUCAUCCGCUUCCGAUCCGCCCAUCUAUACGCACAGUUGGGUAUAUAUAUGUGAACUUUAAUGGAACAAGAUAACCAGUCACAGUACAAGAUCUUUCCUUAAGAGAUCUUGCCCUAUUCAAGGCUCUCGAUUAUCGUAAAGUUUCAAAAAGAAAUGUGAACUGUUCAGACGGUGGACCGGAUGGAUUCCGUCCAAGUUUUCCGAUGAUUGCCGAAAUUAGACAAAAUGUGUGGCCGAUCGGUGAUUUUCAGCAACUUCUCAGCAAUGCAAAAUGCCGGACGUGACCGCUGGGGGCGUGUGUAAAUUAGGGAUCAUAUCUAAUUGAUUCCUCGAUCCUGAAUAUCCGAUGUAAAGUGCUUGUGAUUGCGUGUUAAAUAUGUGUGUGUGUGUAUUCUCGUGUUUCAACUUUACCAGCAUUUACACUGCCAAGUGCUAAUGGAGCUCAUUGCUGACAUGAAUCUAAACGAAUCUGAAAAGUAUUGAUCGCAUAUUGUUGUCCCUUAGUCCCUGAUUUUCAAAGUGCAAUUUUUUAUGUCUAAUUUCUUUUUACAAAACAAUUCUGAUUUUGACGAAUUCAUAACGAAAUAAAUUGAUGUGCUUUAA